rnacentral:lncRNA from 1 species
UCCCCAGGGUGCGGGGCUGCAGAUCGGACUGGGUACUGGGGCUCGGCAUGGAUGGGUCUCUCGUCCAGUCGUCGGAUUCCUACAGGCUUAAUGGCAUCAGGUUCCACGGUAUCAGGCUGCUGCAGCUGGCUCAAGUCGUAAUCCUGCAAAAGACAAAAUCAAAAACCCAUGGUAGAUGGGCAUAAAGAUGGAAAAUUACAACCUUUGUUUUUAAACACAUACCCAGAAUGCAUAGAAAUGAGUGAAAUUUAACAUAAUGGAAAAGUUGCCACCAUGAGUUUUUCAUGUUAUGAUUAAAUAUUUCUUUC